AUGUACAACGCAUAUGCCGCCAAGGUUGGGUUCAGUGUCAGAAAAAGUCACACAAAGCGACGAGGUGAUAAAAGUAUAUCUCAAAAAUAUAUAGUUUGCAGUAACGAAGGCCAUCGAGAAACCCAAUCAUCUAAGGACACUACAAGGACAGGUUGUGAGGCUCGUAUUCAGUUUAGUGUCAACAAAGAUGGUAUUUGGACAGUGCAAAAGCUUAUAACCGAGCACAAUCACUAUCUUGCUAGUCCCAGUAAGGUGCACAAGCUGAGGUCCCAAAGACGUGUUAUAGAAGCGGAUAGGCAUCUAAUUGGCCAGAUACGGGAAGCGGGGAUGAAGCCAUCCCAGGUAUAUGACUUUAUGGUAGCAUUUUACGGAGAACCCGACAAAGUACCAUUCUCAAAGAUGGACUGCAAUAAUGAGAUUGGUCGCGAGCGCAAGAAGUAUUUAGAAUCAAAUGAUGCAUAGACACUGUUGGAAUACUUGAAAAAUAAGCAAAGAGAGGAUCCUACAUUUUAUGCCAUUCAGAUAGAUCAAGUUGAUGGCCAGAUAGCUAAUUUCUUUUGGGCAGAUGGUCAGUCUAUCAUGGAUUACGCAUGUUUUGGGGAUGCUGUAUCAUUUGAUACCACUUUUCAGACUAACAAGUUUGAAAUGCCUUUUGCUCCAUUCGUUGGUACCAACCAUCACAAGCAAACAGUAAUUUUUGGGGCCGCGCUGAUAUUUAAUGAGAGUAUCGAUUCAUUUGUUUGGCUCUUUGAAACAUUUUUAACAGCGAUGUCAGGCAAGCAUCCGAGCACUAUUUUCACUGAUCAGGACAAGGCCAUGGACGGAGCAAUUGCAUAUGUGUUCCCAAAUACAAGUCAUCGGCUUUGUUUGUGGCACAUUUAUCUUAAUGCUGCAAAACAUCUUGGGCAUGUAAUUCAUGAGCAUCCUGAGAAGUUUUUAUCUGAUUUUAAGAAAUGUGUCUAUGAAGAUAGGUCAGAAUUUUACUUCAAUAAAAAAUGGUUUGAAUUGUUGGAUCAAAACAACCUUGAGGACAAUGAAUGAAUGAAAAAGCUGUAUGAGUUGAGGGAAAAGUGGGCUGCUGUCUAUCGUGACUCUUUUACAGCUAAUAUGAACUCGACUCAAAGGAGUGAAGGUAUGAAUAAUGUCUUCAAGCAAAGAUUUCGUAGGAGACUUGGUCUUUCAGAACUCCUUGUAGAAUGUGAGAAGGUUUCUGGAAGUCUUCGUGAAAAUGAGUUGGAUGCAGAUUUUAGUUCGCGUCGAAAGAAACCUAUUGCUUACUGUCCAAAUUUUCCUUUGCUAAAGACCGCAUCUGAAUCAUACACAAGGCGGAUGUAUUUAGAAUUUGAAACAGAAUUCAAAAGCCAAUUUUCAUUCUCUUGUAAACUAUUACAGACUGACGGUCCGGUGUUGACAUAUAUGGUCACACAUAUGAACAUCGAGCAUGGAGCAAAAGUUAUAUUCAAUACCACGGACACAACUAUUACAUGUUGUUGCAGAAAGUUUGAAUCCAUAGGUAUAUAUACACAAAUUAUGAUGCAAUGUACUCUGUAA
rnacentral:rRNA from 1 species